rnacentral:rRNA from 1 species
CAACGUGGGUAAUCUGCCCCAAAGACCGGGAUAACCUACCGAAAGGUAAGCUAAUACCGGAUAAGCCUACGGAGUCCUCGGACUCUGAAGGAAAAGGUGGCCUCUGUAUACAAGCUAUCACUUUGGGAUGAGCCCGCGGCCCAUCAGCUCGUUGGCGGGGUAACGGCCCACCAAGGCAACGACGGGUAGCUGGUCUGAGAGGACGAUCAGCCACACUGGAACUGAGACACGGUCCAG